UGUGUAAUCCUGAAAAUGCACAUUACACAAGAAGACUAUCUAAGAUAUCCUGAUAAAUGACUAUGAAAUCAUCAUCAAUAAAGUAAAAAUUUAACUUUUAAUUCUUAUUACGAAAACCCAUAAAGCAGGUCUGGAUCAUCCUUUUUGUUGUACUGUCCACAAAGACCUCUAACAUUAAUCCAUCAUUAGAAAGCACUUGGCAACAGCACCAAGGAAAAGUUUGUCUGUAACCUUUAUAAAAAAAAGAAAGUUUUAACAGAGAGAAAAGGAGACCGGGACCUGGUGUAUGGAGUCCCUCAGCGUUUCUCGGCCUAUGGCAGCACAACCGAAAGCUUAUCCAAGGUCAAAUGAGUCUAGCCUAAUCAGUAAGCUUGGGGGAAAAAGAAGGUUUGAGAUUGAGUUCAAAAUUAGAGAGGAGAGAUUCAAACAGGAAGGUGAUCCCCAAGAGUAGGGUCUGAAAAUUGAAGGCUCUGCCUCCCAUACCCUGAGAUUACUUGAAAUUGUUCAAAGCAUGUUCAACAAAGUUAUAAACCUUCAGCAGAGCAACACACAAUGGAGAACAGCCGACAAAAAAGCAAUAGAUAAGACAAACCCAAAGAAGCAAUGGCAAAGAUAACAGUGAAGUCAGUAAAAGGCCAGUGAAUCAGCCUUUACAGUAAACUUUAUCCAAAAUGAAAGUUGUAGGCCAACUUUAAGUGUAAAGAAGUUUCUGCCUCCAAAUUUAAACAAUUAUCAGCCCCAAGAGUGGGAGCUGAUAAUUCAACUCCUGAAGAUGUAGGGUUAUCUAACUUUGUUUUAAACAUGUUCAACUGAGUAGGCAUAUUCAGGUAAGAUCAAAAGUUUCUUUCCUACCAGAACAAAGAACAUACAUACAGUAUUUUCUCACCGAGCUCAGCUAAUGCUCAACGGAGCGGCGUUUCUUCUGAAGAU